CAGAAACAAAACGCGAUUGAUCGCAGACAGAAGAUAUUGGCUAACGAGACGGCGAAUCCAGAUCAGAUCAAAUCGAUCGCAUCGCAUCCAGAGGAGGCGGCGAGCGAGACGACCACGACAGGCGGGGCAACGAGCCUUCUGAUUUUCGAUUAACUUGUCAGAUGAACAUGUUCCUCUCGCCAUCGCCAAAAGAGAUUUGAGUCGUCAUCGGGAGAAGAUUGAUUACGAGGAUAUCAUCGAAGAUUUCACUUCAAAGAAUAUUAAAAGAAUGAUGUUGUCCAAAUAAAUAUUAUACAACCGAAAGUUGAAUAGAGAGCCAAGUCAGAACUAUAUAAUCCCGAAUGCUUUUACUGAGAGGGAAAAAAAAGAGGAUUUAUGAUGUUGAGUACAUGGCAUUUUAUUACCGCACUUGAUUGUUGAGACAUAGGCUCAGGAGUCAGGGUCAUUC